GACGAACGCUGGCGGCGUGCUUAACACAUGCAAGUCGAACGGAAAGGCCCUGCUUUUGUGGGGUGCUCGAGUGGCGAACGGGUGAGUAACACGUGAGUAACCUGCCCUUGACUUUGGGAUAACUUCAGGAAACUGGGGCUAAUACCGGAUAGGAGCUCCUGCUGCAUGGUGGGGGUUGGAAAGUUUCGGCGGUUGGGGAUGGACUCGCGGCUUAUCAGCUUGUUGGUGGGGUAGUGGCUUACCAAGGCUUUGACGGGUAGCCGGCCUGAGAGGGUGACCGGCCACAUUGGGACUGAGAUACGGCCCAGACUCCUACGGGAAGCAGCAGUGGGGAAUAUUGCACAAUGGGCGGAAGCCUGAUGCAGCAACGCCGCGUGCGGGAUGACGGCCUUCGGGUUGUAAACCGCUUUCGCCUGUGACGAAGCGUGAGUGACGGUAAUGGGUAAAGAAGCACCGGCUAACUACGUGC
rnacentral:rRNA from 1 species